rnacentral:rRNA from 1 species
UACAGAGGGUGCGAGCGUUAAUCGGAAUUACUGGGCGUAAAGCGCGCGUAGGCGGCUUUGCAAGUCGAGUGUGAAAUCCCCAGGCUCAACCUGGGAACUGCAUUCGAGACUGCAUAGCUAGAGUAUGGGAGAGGGAAGUGGAAUUUCAGGUGUAGCGGUGAUAUGCGUAGAUAUCGGGAGGAACACCAGUGGCGAAGGCGGCUUUCUCGGUGGCCCUUCGUACUGACGCUG